rnacentral:rRNA from 1 species
CGACUCUCGGCAACGGAUAUCUCGGCUCUCGCAUCGAUGAAGAACGUAGCGAAAUGCGAUACUUGGUGUGAAUUGCAGAAUCCCGUGAACCAUCGAGUCUUUGAACGCAAGUUGCGCCCGAAGCCAUUUGGUCGAGGGCACGCCUGCCUGGGCGUCACGC